rnacentral:misc_RNA from 1 species
CUUGGUCAUUUAGAGGAAGCCGCGCAGUCACUCGCACCGCUGCCCUCCGCGCUCGGCGCCGAACAGUCCGCUUACAAUGCGCUGCUCAAGCUUGCGGCGCACGAGUUCGAGGUCACCCGCAAUCAGCGCAACCAGGGCCGGCAAAGUGGCCAACAGCAGCAGCGGCAAGCGGAGCUCGAUCAACUCGAAAUGAAGCAGGAGGAGAAUCGUUACGAAACGAAGCGCGAGGCGCAGCCGUUGCAGAACGAGCAGCAGCGCGAACAACUGGCGUUGCUCAAUCGUUUGAAGGAACUCGCGCAGCGGCAGCAGGACAUCAACGAGCGCGUCAAGGAAUUGCAGACUGCCUUGCAGGAAGCGAAGACGGAAAAGGAGAAGGAAGAACUUCAGCGCCAGCUCAAGCGCCUGCGCGAGGAGCAGCAGCAGUUGCUCGCCGAU